AAAUCUUAAGUUAAUCAAACUAAUUGCCUUCAAAGCAAUAAAUAAUACACAAUUUAGAUUUCG
rnacentral:tRNA from 1 species